AGUAUAUUUAACCGUUUUUUUCGGUUUUGCACAUUUAAUGAGAAAACUCCAGAGAACAUUGAAAAAUGACCUUCCUAAAGUACUACCCGAAAAAAUGUCCUUUCAUAAAAGGGUCUUCAUCGUAUAUAUCGGAGUAAGCUUUAUGAAAGAAAAACUAUGGGUCACGAUGGGUGGGCCACUGUUGUAGGUGAGAAUUUGGGAAGGUAGAGGAUACAUUUAAUGUAUAUCUGUACGAAAAUAUUAAUAAUUGCUAACGAAAAACGAUUCUGAGCGGA